CCCUAUUAUUUUUGAUGUUAAUUUAUUUUCCUGGGUAGUAUUAGUUGUGUUCUUGAAACCCAAAGAAUUUGGCGGUAUUCUAUACCUUUCAGAGGAAUCUGCUCCGUAAUCGAUAAUCCGCGUUGGACCUUACUUGGAAUUUUUGAUUUGUAUACCGCUGUUAUAAUGAAGAUCAUUUUAGUGCUAAUUUUCUGGUAUCUUUAUUGUGAGUUAUUUCAGGUCAAGGUGCAGUUUAUUUUUAAGUGUGAAGUGGAUUACAGUAUGUUGUUGAAUUUGGAUUGUUGGUUGGAAUAAUCGGCAUGAAAUUGGAUUUGAUAGUAAUUGAAUGAAGAUUGUUUAAAUGAUUUUGGUUCUGGAAUAUGUACACAUCGCCCGUCGCUCUCAUUUUUGUUGAGAUAAGUC
rnacentral:rRNA from 1 species